rnacentral:rRNA from 1 species
CAGUAGCCGCGGGAAUACGAAGGGUGCAAGCGUUACUCGGAAUUACUGGGCGUAAAGCGUGCGUAGGUGGUGGUUUAAGUCCGUUGUGAAAGCCCUGGGCUCAACCCCGGAACUGCCUUUGAUACUGGAAGUCUUGAGUAUGGUAGAGGUGAGUGGAAUUCCGAGUGUAGAGGUGAAAUUCGUAGAUAUUCGGAGGAACACCAGUGGCGAAGGCGGCUCACUGGACCUGUACUGACGCUCAUGCACGAAAGCGUGGGGAGCAAACAGGAUUAGAUACCCCAGUAGUCCCUGUCUCUUAUAC